UUGACCUCGGAUCAGGUAGGGAUACCCGCUGAACUUAAGCAUAUCAAUAAGCGGAGGAAAAGAAACCAACAGGGAUUGCCUCAGUAACGGCGAGUGAAGCGGCAACAGCUCAAAUUUGAAAGCUGGCCCCCCCGGGGGUCCGCGUUGUAAUUUGUAGAGGAUGAUUCGGCGAGGGCUCCCGCCUAAGUCCCCUGGAACGGGGCGUCAUAGAGGGUGAGAAUCCCGUAUGCGGUGGGCUGCCUUAGCCACGUGAAUCUCCUUCGACGAGUCGAGUUGUUUGGGAAUGCAGCUCUAAAUGGGAGGUAAAUUUCUUCUAAAGCUAAAUACCGGCCAGAGACCGAUAGCGCACAAGUAGAGUGAUCGAAAGAUGAAAAGCACUUUGGAAAGAGAGUUAAAAAGUACGUGAAAUUGUUGAAAGGGAAGCGCUUGCAGCCAGACUUGUCCGCAGUUGCUCAGCCGGUCUCCUGACCGGCGCACUCUUCUGCGGCCAGGCCAGCAUCAGUUCGGGCGGUCGGAUAAAGGCCCCGGGAACGUAGCUCCUCUCGGGGAGUGUUAUAGCCCGGGGUGGAAUGCGGCCAGCCCGGACUGAGG
rnacentral:rRNA from 1 species